rnacentral:rRNA from 1 species
AAUCUACCCAAUGGAGGGGGAUAGCUCGAGGAAACUCGAAUUAAUACCGCAUAAUCUCCACGGAGUAAAGAGGGCUUCGGCUCUCGCCAUCGGAUGAGCCUAUGCAGGAUUAGCUUGUUGGUGAGGUAAAGGCUUACCAAGGCGACGAUCCUUAGCUGGUUUGAGAGGAUGACCAGCCACAUCGGGACUGAGACACGGCCCGGACUUCUACGGAAGGCAGCAGUAGGGAAUAUUGGACAAUGAGCGAAAGCUUGUUCCAGCCAUGCCGCGUGUGCGAUGACGGCCCUCGGGUUGUAAAGCACUUUAGGUAACGAGGAAAAGUUAGGUGUUAAUACCAUCUAACCUUGACGUUAAUUACAGAAUAAGCACCGGCUAAAUCCGUGCCAGCAGCCGCGGUAAUACGGAUGGUGCAAGCGU